UUGUUUCCAUGGUGAUGCGGAAUCUGAGGAGGGCACUCCAAAAACUGGAAAGACCUUAUCUGAUUCAAAGACACACGCACAAGAAGCAAGCACUCGGUGUCUUGUGAACAGAGAGAAGCCACUUGUGUAGCUAAAAGGGUCUGCAGAGGCUACAAGGAGAAAGGGUUUAUUCUGGCCUCCUGUUCAAGGUGCCUGCAUGGUGGCUGAAUCAAGGCAGCAGAACUUGAAGCAGAUGAUCACAUGGGAUCCAUGGUGAGGAAGAAGACAGCACUGACUACAUGCUAUGGCUUGGCUCCAUGGCUCUGUGUAUGGACAGCCCAACUUCAAAUGUGUGCGUGGCUUUUCCCAUGUCAGUCAAUACAAGCAAGAAUACUCCCCCCACAGGCAGUCAUGCUGCAGGUCAAAGGUCCAUUGCUGAGGGAAGAAGAGGGAAGUGGUGUCACCGCAGGAAGCUCGGAGGAAGGCUGCUUGCUGACUUCUCACAGGCUUGGCAUGGCUAUGUCCCUGAGUACUCUAGUACUUCUGAUGCAAAGACUGCCCACACGGGCGGGGCCUCCAACACAACUACCAAAGUAGACGGUCCCUUGGCAAACAGAGCGCAGCCCAACCUGACAAGGACAAUUACUCAAUUGAGACAUUUUCCCCAGCUGACCCCAGACUACGUAAAGUUGACAGUUACAUUAACUAAGACACUCUAUGUUUACUUUCUACUGAGGACAUCAUUGGCUGGAUGAUGCCUGCUAACCCGGGUACACUGAUUCAAAUGUUAGUUUCCUCCAUAAACACCCUUGUAGAUACACCCAGACCAUAAUCCUGCACUAGCUAUCCGGGUACCCCUUACUUUGGUCAAGUUCACACAUAAAGUGAUCAUCACUUUGCCUUGAUCAUUCUUUUAUAUGUUUUAAAUAAAAUAUUUUAAAGUUUUAUUAA